ACGGCGAGUGAAGCGGCAACAGCUCAAAUUUGAAAUCUGGCCCUUUCAGGGUCCGAGUUGUAAUUUGCAGAGGGUGCUUUGGCGUCGGUUGUGGUCUAAGUUCCUUGGAACAGGACGUCGCAGAGGGUGAGAAUCCCGUAUGUGGCCGCCAACCUUCGCCGUGUAAAGCCCCUUCGACGAGUCGAGUUGUUUGGGAAUGCAGCUCUAAAUGGGAGGUAAAUUCCUUCUAAGGCUAAAUAUCUGCCAGAGACCGAUAGCGCACAAGUAGAGUGAUCGAAAGAUGAAAAGCACUUUGGAAAGAGAGUCAAAAAGCACGUGAAAUUGUUGAAAGGGAAGCGCUUGCAGUUAGACGUGCCGUUAGUUGCUCAGCCGGGCUUCUGCCCGGUGCACUCUUCUAUCGGCAGGCCAGCAUCAGUUUGGGCGGUUGGAUAAAGGUCUAUUAAACGUGACUCCCCUCGGGGAGAGCUUAUAGGGUAGACGCCAUGCAGCCAGCCCGAACUGAGGUCCGCGCAUCUGCUAGGAUGCUGGCGUAAUAGCUGUAAGCGGCCCGUCUUGAAACACGGACCAAGGAGUCUAACAUCUAUGCGAGUGUUUGGGUGCGAAGCCCGAACGCGCAAUGAAAGUAAACGGAGGUGGGAUCCCUCACGGGUGCACCAUCGACCGAUCCUGAUGUACUCGGAUGGAUUUGAGUAAGAGCAUAGCUGUUGGGACCCGAAAGAUGGUGAACUAUGCCUGAAUAGGGUGAAGCCAGAGGAAACUCUGGUGGAGGCUCGCAGCGGUUCUGACGUGCAAAUCGAUCGUCAAA
rnacentral:rRNA from 1 species